rnacentral:rRNA from 1 species
CCUACGGGAGGCAGCAGUGGGGGAUAUUGCACAAUGGGGGAAACCCUGAUGCAGCGACGCCGCGUGAGUGAAGAAGGAUUUCGGUAUGUAAAGCUCUAUCAGCAGGGAAGAAAAUGACAGUACCUGAACAAGAAGGCCAGGAUAACUACGGGCCAGCCGCCGCGGUCAUACGUAGGGGGCAAGCGUUAUCCGGAUUUAAUGGGUGAAAAGGGACCGUGGACGGUUAUUGAGGUCUGGAGUGAAAGCCCGGGGCGCAACCCGGGGACUGCUUUGGAAACUGGUUAACUGGAGUACAGGAGGGGCAGGCGGAAUUCCUGGUGUAGCGGUGAAAUGCGUAGAGAUCAGGAGGAACACCGGCGGCGAAGGCGGCCUGCUGGACUGAAACUGACGUUGAGGCUCGAAAGCGUGGGGAGCAAACAGGAUUAGAUACCCGAGUAGUC